rnacentral:misc_RNA from 1 species
GAUGAAGAACGUAGCGAAAUGCGAUACGUAAUGUGAAUUGCAGAAUUCAGUGAAUCAUCGAAUCUUUGAACGCAUAUUGCGCUCUCUGGUAUUCCGGAGAGCAUGCUUGUUUGAGUAUCAGUAAACACCUCAACUUCCAUAUCUUUUUUGAAAUGGGAGUUGGACUUGAGUGAUCCCAACGCUUUUCCUCACCGAAAAGUGGCGGGUUACUUGAAAUGCAGGUGCAGCUGGACUUUUCUCUGAGCUAUAAGCAUAUCUAUUUAGUCUGCCUAAAAAACAGAUUAUUACCUUUGCUGCAGCUAACAUAAAGGAGAUUAGUUCUUGUGCUGACUGAUGCAGGAUUCACAAAGACAGGCUUCGGCCGACUUUGUAAACUCGAUCUCAAAUCAAGUAAGACUACCCGCUGAACUUAAGCAUAUCCAAUAAGCGGAGGA